GGGGGCGCCAGGCCGGGGACGGGUUUGCAGCCGCCCGCAGAGCUUUGGCGCCUUGCGUCGCCGCGCCAGGAGGUUUCCGGUCACACCACGUAUCUGGGCAUGUGGCUUCUUCCCGGGCCGGCUGUUCUCACAGCCGCCGCCCUUCCCUCCCUUGGCUGCUGCCCCGCGUGGGAGGGGAGGGACGUCGGGGUCGUGUCCCCAGCGCUAGUUGGCGGGGCGGAGAGGUGGGGUUUCUCAGUGACCCACAGCGGGACCUCCCGUGGGCGUGGUGCGGGUUUGUGGGCUGUGGAACUGGAGUACAAGGUCACCAUGAGGACCCCGGGAGAGGGGUCCCCCUCUCAAAGGGCAGAGGCCCCUUGAAGGGGGUCUGACCUCGGGGUUUGCGAGGGUCAGGGCGGAGGAGGCGUGAGCCUCGAAAGACGGGGGCGAUCUGGCCAGUGGAGAUGUGGGUGCUCCAGGCCGAGCGAAUGCGAUGAUGGGGGCACGGGCCUGCUGGGGUCGAGGGCUGGAGGAGUGCGAGGCGAGCCGGAAAGGUCCCGGCCCGUCCAGUGCCUGCGGAGUGACCCGCGGAGGUAGCCCUUCCCUUCUGGGCCUUCAAGUCCUCAUCUGUAGUAGUCAACCCAACGCUCCUGAACCUGGCUCCCACCUUCGUUUCCUUCUCCAGGUGGGCUCUGCUUUGAUGACAGGCUCAUUCUUGGAGGAAUACAAUGGAGACCUAUAGAAGAGAAUUAAGCAGGAGGAAUGGGUGCCAAUGGCAGAUGUAUCAAGACGGGGGGACUGUCGCCUCUUUCUUAAGAUAAUGAAGACACUCAUCAUAUCAGCUAAAUUCAACCUCAGGUGCUGACCUUAUCCCCUUUCUGGGCCAUGAGUUCUUGAAGGGCAGAGCCUGGAGUUUAUUCUUUUUUAAAAAAUUUUGGCUGUGCUACGUGGCUUGUGGGAUCAUAGUUCCCCGACCAGAGAUUGAACCCGGGACGUCGGCAGUGAGGUUGCGGAGAGUCCCAACCACUGAACCUCCAGGGAAUUCCCUGGAUGUUUUGAAAUACCUAUGCAUUGUGAAGUAAUCACCACAAUCAAGCUAAUUAACAUAUCCUGCACAGCAUAAGGGAUCUUAGUUCCCUGACCAGGGGUCGAACCUGUGCCCUUGCAGGGGCAGCGUGGAGUCUUAACCACUGGACCACCAGGGAAGCCCCUGGAGUUUAUUCUUUGCAUGGCCCACAGUGCCUUGCCCGGUGCCUGGCUCGGAGGGGCUGUACAAAUGUUUGAUGGUUAUAAAAAUAGGUGAGAAUCCCCAGCCGUGGGCUUGGUUGCCUCUCUCCCUGAUGGGAAGCUGAGAAGGAAUUGACCGAGCCGGCUUUCUCCUGCCCUCUAUGAAUUGUAAACCCUGGGUCCUAGCUGUUCUGCUGCUUCAGCAUUUCUUUGUUCUGGGCCGAGUUCAGCGGCCAAGACUGCAGAAGAAGGGAAUGAGGGAGUUUCUCAGCCAUCACAGAUGAUUGUACUUGUGGCAUCUAGCGCCACCAGCCAAAGGCCUUUUCAUUAGACCAGACGCGUUUGGCUCUAGGCUGGCCGGGUUUCCGGUCACCGAUGGACUCCGUGUUACGUCUCAGCUGGAUUUGGCAGACUUGGCAAUCCCAGGGGACGUGGCUGGUCCACUUUGGUGGAUUUGCACAUUGGCAUCUGCAGGCCUGGCAGCUUCCCGUCACUUCUGCCUUCUCCUCGGAAGCUCGGAAGCAGGGGAGGUGGUUCCAUCCACUACCUAAUGGCAACCAGACUGCCAUGUACACAGAGGAGCAAGAUGAGUUAGGUCUGGGUUUUCCUGGAAUAGUUGAGGUGAUCGUGAUUUUAUUCAUUGGAAUGGCGAUGAAGUGCUAAGUGUAACAAUUAAAUGUAAUGUCAAUGUUUUAUCCUUGUGAAGGUUUUUUCCUGUAAAUUCACUAAUUAAGAAAAAUC